AUGAGAAUACCAAAGAAAUACAGUAUUCUGAAUUAACUACAGGAACUUCUUAAUUUUACUCAACAUGCACAAUGUCUUGCUAAAGUAUAUGGCAGUAAUCAUGAUUUCUGAUCACUUGGGGGAAAGAUGGAAAAACAAAGUAUCAACAUCUAGUCAGCGGCUAAUCCGCGCAUACCUGGGAGCGGAAACUGAUUUCAAGAUGGCGGACGAAAGGGAAACGAUCAAUCGAUCUUGAAAUCGCCUUGCUUGCACGAUCCGUUAAGGGGUUUCACCCAGGGAAGCGGGAGGACUGAGGACAAAGCUGUGUGUGUGGGGAUCGCAGGGAUCGCGUUUAUGAUAUACAGGUGCACUUCCAGCUCUUGCUUCUCCCUGUUUGACACAAUCAUCUCCAACCUGAGCUAAUUCUUUGCGCAUAUCCGGAGGUAAGUUGUGGCCCUUCUCGCUUUCCUUGACUUGGUAAUAGCGGUUAACUAGUCUCCGCCUGCUUAUGAGUAUCCACUCCAAGUAGCGCUCUCCGAAUUGAAGUAGAUUGUCUCUCGCACACUCCGACACAUUCUGGCCUGAGGAUUGUCUCAGAGCUAGGAUAAAGAAUAUUGAUUUAAAACUUUGUUAUUUAGGUAGAUUUAUAUGGUCGCUGAAUCAUCGUAUGGCAUAAAGUUGGGCUAAGGCAAUGCAAAAUCACGGAUAGGUUUUGAUGCAGGUUGUACAUUUCCCUAUACAUGAAAUUGUAUAGACUAAAGGGGGGUGCGCAGUCAUGGGUAUCUUA